CCCCUUCUCAAAACGCAGUCCUGCGCCUAUAUCUUGCUCGUCCCGCAAGGGACUAUGGACAUAAACGUGCUCAUAAUAAGCGGAUCGGACCCGGGGGCGGUACCCGGCGGCUCCACCAAACACUCUCGUUGGGGGUUCUUGGGGCCGAAACAGGAUCGACGAACGUGUAAAAGAGUGGCUUUGUCCCGGUGAGAUACCACCGUUAUCGGUUCACAAUGCAUAAUUGCCAACGACAAUCGUGCUCCGAUCGCUCUGGCUGCCUAAGCAGUCCGAAAGAUCGAAAUCUAAGCCCUUGGGCCUAGCAGCUUAAGGCGGGGUUCGCAGGCACCUGGCAACAGAAGCCUGCAUU
rnacentral:tmRNA from 1 species